rnacentral:rRNA from 1 species
AGCGCAGGCGGGAAGACAAGUUGGAAGUGAAAUCCAUGGGCUCAACCCAUGAACUGCUUUCAAAACUGUUUUUCUUGAGUAGUGCAGAGGUAGGCGGAAUUCCCGGUGUAGCGGUGGAAUGCGUAGAUAUCGGGAGGAACACCAGUGGCGAAGGCGGCCUACUGGGCACCAACUGACGCUGAGGCUCGAAAGUGUGGGUAGCAAAC